CAGCCGCCACGGGAAUACGAAGGGGGCUAGCGUUGCUCGGAAUUACUGGGCGUAAAGGGCGCGUAGGCGGACAGUUAAGUCGGGGGUGGAAGCCCGGGGCUCAACCUCGGAAUUGCCUUCGAAACUGGCUGUCUUGAGUACGGGAGAGGUGAGUGGAACUCCGAGUGUAGAGGUGAAAUUCGUAGAUAUUCGGAAGAACACCAGUGGCGAAGGCGACUCACUGGCCCGUUACUGACGCUGAGGCGCGAAAGCGUGGGGAGCAAACAGGAUUAGAUACCCCUGUAGUCCCUGUCUCUUAUAC
rnacentral:rRNA from 1 species